UACGUAGGGACCAAGCGUUGUUCGGAUUUACUGGGCGUAAAGGGCGCGUAGGCGGACAGUUUAGUCAGAGGUGAAAGCCCAGGGCUCAACCUUGGAAUUGCCUUUGAUACUGGCUGUCUUGAGUUCGGGAGAGGUGAGUGGAAUGCCGAGUGUAGAGGUGAAAUGCGUAGAGAUCCGGAGGAACACCAGAGGCGAAGGCGGCCUACUGGGCUGCACCUGACGCUGAGCCGCGAAAGCCAGGGGAGCGAACGGG
rnacentral:rRNA from 1 species